CUCGCACUAAGGAGGCCCACCGGGUGGCCCAUGCACUAAGGGCCAGCCAGUGGGCUUCUGUCAGCAGUGGCCUGGUCUUGCGCUCUGGCAUUUUAAGAGCGUGACCGGGCCCUCUUGCUUUUCGGUAGCCGUCUGAGAGGAAGAGACGGCUGCAAGUCACUUCCAUAAAGAGAGGAGCUGCGCAGGAGGAGGAAGAGGCACAGCGGAGGGGGUCUGGGCCAAACUAGCCAGACCCCAACUCCCAACAGCUUCAGCCACAAGUGGGAAAGCCACCCUCCAAGGUAGGAAACGGGAAGGUGGGUUUCAUAGUGUAAAUUUUGUGUGUGUGUGUGUGUGUCAGUAUGCCUGCCAGUGUGUGUGUGUGUGUGUGUGUAUGUCUGUAUGUCAUUAUGUCUGUCAGUGUAUGUGUCAGUAUGUCUGUCAGUGUGUGUCAAUGUGUGUGUGUGUAUCUGUGAAUGUCUGUGUAUGUCUGUAUGUCAUUAUAUAUGUCAGUGUAUGUGUCAGUAUGUCAGCCUGUGCUGUCAGUGUAUGUGUCAGUAUGUCUGCCAGUGUGUGUCAAUGUGUUUGUGUGUAUCUGUGAAUGUCUCAGUAUAUGUCUAUAUGUCAGUAUGUCUGUCAGUAUAUGUGUUAGUAUGUCUGCCUAUGUCUGUCAGUGUAUGUGUCAGUAUGUCUGCCAGUGUGUGUCAAUGUGUGUGUGUCUCAGUGUGUGUGUGUGUAUCUGUGAAUGUCUCAGUAUAUGUCUAUAUGUCAGUAUGUCUGUCAGUGUAUGUGUCAGUAGGUCUGCCUGUGUGUGUCAGUAUGUUUGCCCGUGUGUGUCAGUAUGUGUGCCUGUGUGUGUCAGUAUGUCUGUCAGUGUAUGUGUCAGAAUGCCUGUCAGUGUGUGUCAGUAUGUCUGUCAGUGUGUGUGUGUGUGUCAGGAUGCCUGUGAUUGUAUGUCAGUAUGUCUUAGUAUACGUGUAUGUCAAUAUGUCUGUCAGUGUGUCAGCGUGUCAGUAUGCCUGUGUGCAUGUGUGUGUCUGUGAAUAUGUGUCAAUAUGUCUGUCAGUAUAUGUGUGUGUGUGUCAGCAUGUCUGUUAGUGUAUGUGUCUGUGUGUGUCCAUAUGCAUGUCAGUGUGUGCAUGUCUGUAUCAGUAUGGCUCUUUGUGUCAGUGCGUGUGUGUGUUGGUGAAUGUGUCAGCAUGUCUGUCAGUGUGUCAGUAUGUCUGCGUCUCUCUCUGUAUAUAUGUCUGUCUAUAUGUCAGAAUGUCUGUCAGUUUGUGUGUCUGUCUAAGUAUGUCUAUCAGUGUAUGUUUGUAUGUCAGUUUGUCUGUCUCUAUGUGUCUGUAUAUCUGUGUGUGUGUAUCUAUAUGUUGUCAUUGUGUGUGUGUCAGUGUGUAUAUGUGUGUGUAUUUGUAUGAAGUCUGUGUGUGUAUCUGUGUAUCUGCAAAUGUGUCAGGUGUGUAUAUGUGUGUGUGUGUAACUGCAUGUGUGUC